GACGAACGCUGGCGGCGUGCUUAACACAUGCAAGUCGAACGGAAAGGCCCUGCUUUUGUGGGUUGCUCGAGUGGCGAACGGGUGAGUAACACGUGAGUAUCCUGCCCUUGACUUUGGGAUAACUUCAGGAAACUGGGGCUAAUACCGCAUAGGAGCUCCUGCUGCAUGGUGUGGGUUGGAAAGUUUCGGCGGUUGGGGAUGGACUAGCGGCUUAUCAGCUUGUUGGUGGGGUAGUUGCAUACCAAGGCUUUGACGGGUAGCCGGCCUGAGAGGGUUACCGGCGACAUUGGGACUGAGAUACGGCCCAGACGCCAAUGGGAGGCAGCAGGGGGGAAUAUUGCACAAUGGGCGGAAGUCUGAUGCAGCGACGCCGCGUGCGGGAUGACGGCCUUCGGGUUAUAAACCGAUGUCGCCUGUGACGAAGCGGGAGUGACGGUAAUGGGUAAAGAAGCACCGGCUAACUACGUG
rnacentral:rRNA from 1 species